CGACCGCUGGCGGCGUGCUUACCACAUGCAAGUCGAACGGAAAGGCCCUGCUUUUGUGGGGUGCUCGAGUGGCGAACGGGUGAGUAACACGUGAGUAACCUGCCCUUGACUUUGGGAUAACUUCAGGAAACUGGGGCUAAUACCGGAUAGGAGCUCCUGCUGCAUGGUGGGGGUUGGAAAGUUUCGGCGGUUGGGGAUGGACUCGCGGCUUAUCAGCUUGUUGGUGGGGUAGUGGCUUACCAAGGCUUUGACGGGUAGCCGGCCUGAGAGGGUGACCGGCCACAUUGGGACUGAGAUACGGCCCAGACUCCUACGGGAGGCAGCAGUGGGGAAUAUUGCACAAUGGGCGGAAGCCUGAUGCAGCAACGCCGCGUGCGGGAUGACGGCCUUCGGGUUGUAAACCGCUUUCGCCUGUGACGAAGCGUGAGUGACGGUAAUGGGUAAAGAAGCACCGGCUAACUACGUG
rnacentral:rRNA from 1 species